rnacentral:lncRNA from 1 species
GGAAAUUCUCUUACUUCCUAACCUAGCAUUCUGUUCCAAGAGCAAGGCAUCCGGACUUAGACCAUCCAUCACACUUAACAGCCCCGAUUCUUUUAUAUUAAUGAGAGCAUUUUUCUAUUUUCAUAUCUUUCUUUAAUUUUAAUGAUACAUUGUCAUAAAUGAUAAGGUUUUGUUAAUAUCACUUACUUAAAUGUCUUCUAAAGAAAAAUAUUUAAAUUGUUUAAUGUAAUUGUAUUCAUAAAUGCUGGUAGAUUUAAAGGUUUUAAAGCUUUAUUUUUAUUAAUAUUGCAGGAUAGAAGGAUAAAGGAUGCAUAUGUAAUAUUUUUAUUUUGAAGGGGAAUGUACAAUGUGUGAACAAAAACAUUAAGAGAUUUUACAUAGUGUUUUCUUAUUUUAGAUUUUUAUAUUCAGCAAGUACAAAUCCUCAUAUAUAUAAGCUAUUGUGUACAAAUUCGGGGGAAAUCUGAUUAGUUGUCAUUUACCAGAAGCUGUGCUCCAGUAUUUUUUUCUGUAUAUAUCUGGUUUGAGCUUCUAAGAGAAUUUUAGAUAGUGGGAUGGACUAUAAUCCCCUCUAUAGGUUUCUACAUUUGAGUAGUAGGAUUGUGGGACUGUUAUGGAGAAGACAUCUUAGAUGUCCAUAUUCUGUGGUUGUUCCUUUAUUUGCCUGUCCAAUGACAGCAAGAACCUUUCUGAUUUAGAGUCUUUUAAAUUGACUAGAACUUUUCUGACUAUAUUAUGCCUUAGUUUUCCUAGUAAACAAAAGGAAAGCCUAGGAAUAUGAAACUAAUGAAAAAGGCAUUUAGUAGAUACUUUGCUAGACAUUGUGGAUGUAACAGUUCAUUUCUUAUAUUGCAUUGUGCCUUUCCAAUGAUGUCAAGCCCUAGAAGUA